GACGAACGCUGGCGGCGUGCUUAACACAUGCAAGUCGAACGGAAAGGCCCUGCUUUUGUGGGGUGCUCGAGUGGCGAACGGGUGAGUAACAAGUGAGUAACCUGCCCUUGACUUUGGGAUAACUUCAGGAAACUGGGGCUAAUACCGGAUAGGAGCUCCUGCUGCAUGGUGGGGGUUGGAAAGUUUCGGCGGUUGGGGAUGGACUCGCGGCUUAUCAGCUUGUUGGUGGGGUAGUGGCUUACCAAGGCUUUGACGGGUAGCCGGCCUGGGGGGGUGACCGGACACAUUGGGGCUGAGAUACGGCCCAGACUCCUACGGGAGGCAGCAGUGGGGAAUAUUGCACAAUGGGCGGAAGCCUGAUGCAGCAACGCCGCGUGCGGGAUGACGGCCUUCGGGUUGUAAACCGCUUUCGCCUGUGACGAAGCGUGAGUGACGGUAAUGGGUAAAGAAGCACCGGCUAACUACGUG
rnacentral:rRNA from 1 species